rnacentral:rRNA from 1 species
AUUGAACGCUGGCGGCAGGCCUAACACAUGCAAGUCGAGCGGAUGAAGGGAGCUUGCUCCUGGAUUCAGCGGCGGACGGGUGAGUAAUGCCUAGGAAUCUGCCUGGUAGUGGGGGAUAACGUCCGUAAACGGGCGCUAAUACCGCAUACGUCCUGAGGGAGAAAGUGGGUGAUCUUCGGACCUCACGCUAUCAGAUGAGCCUAGGUCGGAUUAGCUAGUUGGUGGGGUAAAGGCCUACCAAGGCGACGAUCCGUAACUGGUCUGAGAGGAUGAUCAGUCACACUGGAACUGAGACACGGUCCAGACUCCUACGGGAGGCAGCAGUGGGGAAUAUUGGACAAUGGGCGAAAGCCUGAUCCAGCCAUGCCGCGUGUGUGAAGAAGGUCUUCGGAUUGUAAAGCACUUUAAGUUGGGAGGAAGGGCAGUAAGUUAAUACCUUGCUGUUUUGACGUUACCAACAGAAUAAGCACCGGCUAACUUCGUG